GAUGAACGCUGGCGGCGUGCCUAAUACAUGCAAGUCGAGCGAACAGACGAGGAGCUGCUCCUCUGACGUUAGCGGCGGACGGGUGAGUAACACGUGGAUAACCUACCUAUAAGACUGGGAUAACUUCGGGAAACCGGAGCUAAUACCGGAUAAUAUAUUGAACCACAUGGUUCAAUAGUGAAAGACGGUUUUGCUGUCACUUAUAGAUGGAUCCGCGCCGCAUUAGCUAGUUGGUAAGGUAACGGCUUACCAAGGCAACGAUGCGUAGCCGACCUGAGAGGGUGAUCGGCCACACUGGAACUGAGACACGGUCCAGGCUCCUACGGGAGGCAGCAGUAGGGAAUCUUCCGCAAUGGGCGAAAGCUUGACGGAGCAACGCCGCGUGAGUGAUGAAGGUCUUCGGAUCGUAAAACUCUGUUAUUAGGGAAGAACAAAUGUGUAAGUAACUAUGCACGUCUUGACGGUACCUAAUCAGAAAGCCACGGCUAACUACGUG
rnacentral:rRNA from 1 species